rnacentral:rRNA from 1 species
UACAGAGGGUGCAAGCGUUAAUCGGAAUUACUGGGCGUAAAGCGCGCGUAGGUGGUUCGUUAAGUUGGAUGUGAAAUCCCCGGGCUCAACCUGGGAACUGCAUUCAAAACUGUCGAGCUAGAGUAUGGUAGAGGGUGGUGGAAUUUCCUGUGUAGCGGUGAAAUGCGUAGAUAUAGGAAGGAACAUCAGAGGAGAAGGCGACCACCGGGACCGACACUGACGCUGAGGUGCGAAAGCGUGGGGAGCGAACGGG